rnacentral:rRNA from 1 species
UACGAAGGGGGCUAGCGUUGCUCGGAAUUACUGGGCGUAAAGGGCGCGUAGGCGGGUCGUCAAGUUGGGGGUGAAAGCCCGGGGCUCAACCUCGGAAUUGCCUUCAAAACUGACGACCUAGAGUUUGGGAGAGGUGUGUGGAACUCCGAGUGUAGAGGUGAAAUUCGUAGAUAUUCGGAAGUACACCAGUGGCGAAGGCGACACACUGGCCCAAUACUGACGCUGAGGCGCGAAAGCGUGGGGAGCAAACAGG